CCCUGCAAUCACCUUAUUCCCCUCACCUGAGUGCCCCACCCAUCUCUUCACCUGGUUCCCAUCAUGCUCAUCAGUCACCCUUCAUAUACUGGCCUAGAUCCACUUACACCUUGCCAGAUUGUCUAGUGUUUCCCUUGACUUAGACUCUGCCUGUUUCCUGGUGAAGAUUUUGUCUGUUACCUUUGGUUAAUCUUCCUGAUUUGCCUGCCUGCCUGGUUUGUGACCCUUGCUUGUUUUUUCUGGACUGAAUUAAAGGACAAUGGACUCUGCCACUGUGUCUAAGCUUGAGCAUUUGAGGUCUGAGUCAUUACAAUUGCCUUUGUGUUUUGGUGAGAUUAUCAUUCCUUACAUUUAGACAGCUUGUCCACUUUUGGUAUGAAGUUGGCCCUCAAGGAAAACUUGUGCUAUGUCCAAAAUGGAAAAGGGUUCAUCUCUGAGGAGCAUCAGUGUCCCCCAAUAUGACUGAGAUCCUAACCCCGAAAUCCUCAUAUUAAGGCCUCUGAAUGGUUAAAAUGUGGCGACUGAACUAAAUUCAGUCAUGUUUCUGAGAUGAUGCCACACUGUAACCCUGAACAUUUCUAUUAGACAAAAGCUGAGAUGGGCAACAGCAUUUAGAAACACUUCAAUGUUCAAACGAUAUUCCGAUGUAACAAACAAGUCUAAUAGAAAUAAUUUGCCACACCAGGACACAACCACCAGCAGCCUGAAUUUUUAACAGGCAGCAGGGAUUUGUGGAUCAAAACUGGAUAAGGUUCACAGAGUUUUCCCUACUAUUAUAAGACAUAGGCGCAGCGCCUAAGUAUUUUUUCAGAGCACCUAAGCCGAAUGAACAGGAAAAAAGUAUGCUGAGAAUUCCCUACCGCGUUUCAGCAAAACACACUCACAGCAGAACAGAGAGGCUACAGUGGAGACAGUGAACCAACUCCAUGCUCGUUACUGGCUGUUGGGGGACUGGAGCCUAUCCCAGCUCACGCUGGGUGAGAGGAUGAAAGCCACGCAGACAUGGGGAGAACACGCCAAUGCCACACGGACAGGCCAGAUGCAGAAGUUCUUGCUGCAGAUGACAGAGAACUACUACUCUAUGGGAUGGAAAUCUUGCCAUGUUUUGAAACUGAAAAACAAAAAAAGCUUUGAAAGGUUGAAACUUGCUUGCUGAAGGUUGCGAGUUUGAAACUAAGUUUUGAAGGCUUGCAAAAUGUUUUGAUAGGUUGAACAAAAAAAAAAAAUCUCUGCAAAAAUGAUUUUGUAUUUGAGUUUUCCUUUUUCACAGCUGCAGCUCUUUUUACAGUAUUUCUCCAAUACUGUGUUUUUGUUCUCUUGGUUUCCUGUGUUACACUUCUGUUGUCCAGUCCUUCUGGUCAUUUGGUUUUGCUUGUUCAUAUUGUUUGGGUUGUAUCUUUAAGGGCCUGUCUUGCAUUGUUAGUUAUAUUUUUUGAUGAGUUAAUGUAUGCUGGUAUUGUAUUGUAUCGUUUUCUGGGUUUUGGUUUGCUCGGAAUUUCUCUCCUGUGUUCCUGCAAUCCUCCCCAGCCAGUUUUUCCCUCUACACCUGUCUUGCAUCAUGUUUGUUAGCCCUGCUCUGCUCUCAGUUUUUUUUUCCCAGCCUGAUGUUACCUUCACACCUGCCCUGUAUCGGUCUCAUCAGCCCUGCCCUGCUCCCAGUGUCUCCCCAGCCAAUCAACUCCUAGCCUGCCCAUGUGUCUAGUCACCUGUUCCCUGUUCCCUUAUUAGCUCUAUCUGUAUUUAAGCCUUGGUUUGCAUUUCACUUUUGUUGGAUCCUCUGUUCAGUUCAGGCUGUUCCAGUCAGUCAUGUCUUGUAUUCUACUCAGCUCAGCCAGUUUUGGUUAUUUUGCCUGCAGAAGCCUCAGAAUAAAGUAGGUGGAGUGCUGGAUGUGGGAGUGAUGGAUGACGUGGUUGGAGUGGCAGGAGCGCUGGAUGGCAUUGCUGAGGGACUGGUGGGAGUGAUGGGUGUUGUGGCAUCACUUCCAUCUGCAGAUGGGAUCACUCUCACCACCUACCUCCCUGGACAGUGGAAAGAUGUCUGCCUUGUGGAACCCAGCCUUAAUAUUUUGGGUGGUGACACACGGGGGUAUACAUGCUUCAGGAG